GUUUUUUUUUAUUAUUAUGGACUGGUCAAAACUUUUGCCCCACCCUCUCAAAAACUGAAAUGACGCCACUGAAUCAGGGCCGAUCGUGUUGUCAAAUACUGCAAUAAGAACCUAAGUCAUGAUAAAUUGUACGUUGUCAACCUUCCAACGGAAUAUUAACAUGUGGCAUGGAUAUGGUGUUUAAUAUGGAAAAGAACUGAAUUAGAGCUCAGAAGCAAUUGCAGUAGCAGGCUUUAUGAAGGACCAAUAUUUCUGCAUUUAUACUUCCGGCCUUACUGGAAAUUCUUAAGUAUACAACCUAGUACUAACCACCUGGCACCUAUAUUCAGUAUAUUGUAUAAUACUAUAAU